UCUCGAAUCAAGUUCACAAGGUGACAGAAACAGUAAAGGCCGUUUUUCAAUAUGGCUACAAAAGAACAAGGAAUGCCAUUGAGUACCAAGUGGGCGAUGGAACUAACAUGACCGACCCGCUCAUUUUCACUGAUGGAAAGUUAUGUGAUGUCUUCUAUGUGCCUUAUGCAAACCAAGGCUGUGAGCUCUGGGUCAAGAAGAGUCACUACAAACAGAUACCAGACUGCUGCAUGUUCGUGUUCAAUGCUUUCUGUGCGCAAGGCAAAGAAACCUACGAUAAAUAUAC
rnacentral:lncRNA from 1 species